rnacentral:rRNA from 1 species
UACGGAGGGUGCAAGCGUUAACCGGAAUUACUGGGCGUAAAGCGCACGCAGGCGGUUUGUUAAGUUAGGUGUGAAAUCCCCGGGCUCAACCUUGGAACUGCAUCUGAUACUGGCAAGCUUGAGUCUCGUAGAGGGGGGUAGAAUUCCCAGUGUAGCGGUGAAAUGCGUAGAGAUUUGGAAGAAUACCGGUGGCGUAGGCGGCCCCCUGGGCAAAGACUGACGCUGAGGUGCGAAAGCCGGGGGAGCAAACAGG